GACGAACGCUGGCGGCGUGCUUAACACAUGCAAGUCGAACGGAAAGGCCCUGCUUUUGUGGGGUGCUCGAGUGGCGAACGGGUGAGUAACACGUGAGUAACCUGCCCUUGACUUUGGGAUAACUUCAGGAAACUGGGGCUAAUACCGGAUAGGAGCUCCUGCUGCAUGGUGGGGGUUGGAAAGUUUCGGCGGUUGGGGAUGGACUCGCGGCUUAUCAGCUUGUUGGUGGGGUAGUGGCUUACCAAGGCUUUGACGGGUAGCCGGCCUGAGAGGAUGACCGGCCACAUUGGGACUGAGAUACGGCCCAGACUCCUACGGGAGGCAGCAGUGGGGAAUAUUGCACAAUGGGCGGAAGCCUGAUGCAGCAACGCCGCGUGCGGGAUGACGGCCUUCGGGUUGUAAACCGCUUUCGCCUGUGACGAAGCGUGAGUGACGGUAAUGGGUAAAGAAGCACCGGCUAACUACGUGCCAGCAGCCGCGGUGAUACGUAGGGUGCGAGCGUUGUCCGGAUUUAUUGGGCGUAAAGGGCUCGUAGGUGGUUGAUCGCGUCGGAAGUGUAAUCUUGGGGCUUAACCCUGAGCGUGCUUUCGAUACGGGUUGACUUGAGGAAGGUAGGGGAGAAUGGAAUUCCUGGUGGAGCGAUGGAAUGCGCAGAUAUCAGGAGGAACACCAGUGGCGAAGGCGGUUCUCUGGGCCUUUCCUGACGCUGAGGAGCGAAAGCGUGGGGAGCGAACAGGCUUAGAUACCCUGGUAGUCCACGCUGUAAACGGUGGGUACUAGGUGUGGGGUCCAUUCCACGGGUUCCGUGCCGUAGCUAACGCUUUAAGUACCCCGCCUGGGGAGUACGGCCGCAAGGCUAAAACUCAAAGGAAUUGACGGGGCCCCGCACAAGCGGCGGAGCAUGCGGAUUAAUUCGAUGCAACGCGUAGAACCUUACCUGGGUUUGACAUGGAUCGGGAGUGCUCAGAGAUGGGUGUGCCUCUUUUGGGGUCGGUUCACAGGUGGUGCAUGGCUGUCGUCAGCUCGUGUCGUGAGAUGUUGGGUUAAGUCCCGCAACGAGCGCAACCCUUGUUCACUGUUGCCAGCACGUUAUGGUGGGGACUCAGUGGAGACCGCCGGGGUCAACUCGGAGGAAGGUGGGGAUGACGUCAAGUCAUCAUGCCCCUUAUGUCCAGGGCUUCACGCAUGCUACAAUGGCUGGUACAGAGAGUGGCGAGCCUGUGAGGGUGAGCGAAUCUCGGAAAGUCGGUCUCAGUUCGGAUUGGGGUCUGCAACUCGACCUCAUGAAGUCGGAGUCGCUAGUAAUCGCAGAUCAGCAACGCUGCGGUGAAUACGUUCCCGGGGCU
rnacentral:rRNA from 1 species